AACUUCUUCUUUGCCAUUUAAAAGAAACUCCAAGGCUGAUGACAGACAGCAUUAAACACCAUAAAAACAGCAGAUGGUGGUGGUGGUGGGCACCUUGCUGGCUUUCCUUUCUCCUCCUCACAGGCAGUGAGGAAGAAAUGGCUUCCUGGACAGACCAAGAAUAGCUGAAGUAGAUUCUUUUUAAGCUGGACUCUUUGACUACUCUGAAAGCGAGAAACUGGAUCCACAUGCUGGAGAAUGAAAGAAGGGCAUGAACUGAACCAAACUGGAGGCAGUUUAUGCAGAAUGAUGUCAGUUUGUCACAUGCAAGCCAGCCAGUUUCUUAAUCGGCAAAACAGUUGAAAAGCAUACUACGUACUACUUUUUAUCUGUGCAUGAACAGUACAAAAACGUUUGGAAAGAGGAAGAAAACCAAGCCCAGGCCCAAUAUGCACUUGCAUGAUAAGUGGUGUUUACACUGACUUCCUCAGUAUGAAAGAUGUGUUAUCACUUCUCUGGGCCUGCCCUCAGCAGGUUGCAUCUGAAAUACACAAGUUGAUAAAAUCUCGGGAAAAGUUAACCUGUUUGAGUUAUGACCUUAAUGUUGUAAGUGUUAAUGGUGUAGCCUUAUUAAAAUGAUCACAGUCUGCAGGGUUAACAUUUUUGAGACAGAACGUAUGGAUCGGCUUCAGCUGCCACAGUGAAAACUGUCAUUUGGGUCACAGAGCAGAUCUCCUGUGGUGUCCUCCUCACAUGCCUCAAUGCCAUCCGGCUCUAAGGGAGCCAGCUAGUUGUACUCCUGCCUUUUCACUCGCAGACUGAUAAACAGCUCUUAGGAUGACAAGGAAGGGGAGUUGCUACCUGGGGAACCUGUGCUUUGGGUGAGGUUGGGUUCCAGGAUCCUCCACAAAAGCAUAAUUUAUCGUCCCACAGCAGUGCUGAAUCCUGUGAAUUGGGUCAAAACAAAGGGAUCCAUUUAUCUGUCAGUUGCAAAGACAAAACAUUUGCCAGGAUCUAGCAGGCUAAGCAGGUGCUACCUGCCAAAGAAUCAGUCUAUUUGUGUGAGGGCAGGAGAGGAUAAAAACAGAAGUCAAGAAAAGUAGUCAGUCAUUCUUGGGAAUGGUGUGCAAGUGUCCAGGUUACUGGCAUUAUGUUCAGGACUGAGUGUCUCCCAGAGGCAUCAGGUUUAUGUAGGGUUCUCUGCCAAUCACACAGGCGACCUGGGAACCAAUCAAGGUCUGAGGACUAUGGACUUUGACAGGCAGCACAGUUGAAUGCAUGUAGGCUCUGUUCAGAUUUUCGGUUGAAUGCAAGGAGGUUGGGAGUAGGUUCAGUGAAUGCAGCACUGUUCAUACCCUUCACACAUUUGAACACAUAAACAAGGGUGUAGCUAUAAUUGAACACGGGAGGGACAAAUGUGGCAGAGGGGUCCGCUGCCCGUUUAACCACCCACUCUUUGUUCUCCCCUCCUGCCUCCCUGACUCAGUUGCAAGCUGCUGGCUUCUGACUGGAAUGUGGAGAGUGUACAGUAUUGUUUGUGUGAAAGGACCUGAAAUGCAAUCCAGAGUGGUUAAGGCUUUGUUGGUAUUAAUUGUUAAUAUGGCACUGUCAGUUUAAAAAGGAGAGCCUAGUGAAACUCUGGGAAAAGGAAGGGGGAAACCUCAGAAUAGUUCUAGGGUUGGCCCUACACAGAGAGCAACAAGCUUGUAAAAGUAUCUUCUGAGUUGUGAAGCAAUAAAGGUUUGGUUUUUUUCACCAUCUC